GGGUUGUGAGGUUAAGCGACUAAGCGUACACGGUGGAUGCCCUGGCAGUCAGAGGCGAUGAAGGACGUGCUAAUCUGCGAAAAGCGUCGGUAAGGUGAUAUGAACCGUUAUAACCGGCGAUGUCCGAAUGGGGAAACCCAGUGCAAUUCGUUGCACUAUCGUUAACUGAAUACAUAGGUUAACGAGGCGAACCGGGGGAACUGAAACAUCUAAGUACCCCGAGGAAAAGAAAUCAACCGAGAUUCCCCCAGUAGCGGCGAGCGAACGGGGAGCAGCCCAGAGUCUGAAUCAGCUUGUGUGUUAGUGGAACGGUCUGGAAAGUCCGACGGUACAGGGUGAUAGUCCCGUACACCAAAAUGCACAGGUUGUGAACUCGAAGAGUAGGGCGGGACACGUGGUAUCCUGUCUGAAUAUGGGGGACCAUCCUCCAAGGCUAAAUACUCCUGACUGACCGAUAGUGAACCAGUACCGUGAGGGAAAGGCGAAAAGAACCCCGGCGAGGGGAGUGAAAAAGAACCUGAAACCGUGUACGUACAAGCAGUGGGAGCACCUUCGGGUGUGACUGCGUACCUUUUGUAUAAUGGGUCAGCGACUUAUAUUCUGUAGCAAGGUUAACCGUAUAGGGGAGCCGCAGGGAAACCGAGUCUUAACUGGGCGUUAAGUUGCAGGGUAUAGACCCGAAACCCGGUGAUCUAGCCAUGGGCAGGUUGAAGGUUGGGUAACACUAACUGGAGGACCGAACCGACUAAUGUUGAAAAAUUAGCGGAUGACUUGUGGCUGGGGGUGAAAGGCCAAUCAAACCGGGAGAUAGCUGGUUCUCCCCGAAAGCUAUUUAGGUAGCGCCUCGUGAACUCAUCUUCGGGGGUAGAGCACUGUUUCGGCUAGGGGGUCAUCCCGACUUACCAACCCGAUGCAAACUACGAAUACCGAAGAAUGUUAUCACGGGAGACACACGGCGGGUGCUAACGUCCGUCGUGAAGAGGGAAACAACCCAGACCGCCAGCUAAGGUCCCAAAGUCAUGGUUAAGUGGGAAACGAUGUGGGAAGGCACAGACAGCCAGGAUGUUGGCUUAGAAGCAGCCAUCAUUUAAAGAAAGCGUAAUAGCUCACUGGUCGAGUCGGCCUGCGCGGAAGAUGUAACGGGGCUAAACCAUGCACCGAAGCUGCGGCAGCGACACUAUGUGUUGUUGGGUAGGGGAGCGUUCUGUAAGCCUGCGAAGGUGUGCUGUGAGGCAUGCUGGAGGUAUCAGAAGUGCGAAUGCUGACAUAAGUAACGAUAAAGCGGGUGAAAAGCCCGCUCGCCGGAAGACCAAGGGUUCCUGUCCAACGUUAAUCGGGGCAGGGUGAGUCGACCCCUAAGGCGAGGCCGAAAGGCGUAGUCGAUGGGAAACAGGUUAAUAUUCCUGUACUUGGUGUUACUGCGAAGGGGGGACGGAGAAGGCUAUGUUAGCCGGGCGACGGUUGUCCCGGUUUAAGCAUGUAGGCUGGUUAUCCAGGCAAAUCCGGAUAAUCAAGGCUGAGGUGUGAUGACGAGGCACUACGGUGCUGAAGUAACAAAUGCCCUGCUUCCAGGAAAAGCCUCUAAGCAUCAGGUAACAUCAAAUCGUACCCCAAACCGACACAGGUGGUCAGGUAGAGAAUACCAAGGCGCUUGAGAGAACUCGGGUGAAGGAACUAGGCAAAAUGGUGCCGUAACUUCGGGAGAAGGCACGCUGGUGUGUAGGUGAAGCCCCUGCGGGUGGAGCUGAGACCAGUCGAAGAUACCAGCUGGCUGCAACUGUUUAUUAAAAACACAGCACUGUGCAAACACGAAAGUGGACGUAUACGGUGUGACGCCUGCCCGGUGCCGGAAGGUUAAUUGAUGGGGUUAUCCGUAAGGAGAAGCUCUUGAUCGAAGCCCCGGUAAACGGCGGCCGUAACUAUAACGGUCCUAAGGUAGCGAAAUUCCUUGUCGGGUAAGUUCCGACCUGCACGAAUGGCGUAAUGAUGGCCAGGCUGUCUCCACCCGAGACUCAGUGAAAUUGAACUCGCUGUGAAGAUGCAGUGUACCCGCGGCAAGACGGAAAGACCCCGUGAACCUUUACUAUAGCUUGACACUGAACAUUGAGCCUUGAUGUGUAGGAUAGGUGGGAGGCUUUGAAGCGUGGACGCCAGUCUGCGUGGAGCCAACCUUGAAAUACCACCCUUUAAUGUUUGAUGUUCUAACGUUGGCCCCUGACCGGGGUUGCGGACAGUGUCUGGUGGGUAGUUUGACUGGGGCGGUCUCCUCCCAAAGCGUAACGGAGGAGCACGAAGGUUAGCUAAUCCUGGUCGGACAUCAGGAGGUUAGUGCAAUGGCAUAAGCUAGCUUGACUGCGAGCGUGACGGCGCGAGCAGGUGCGAAAGCAGGUCAUAGUGAUCCGGUGGUUCUGAAUGGAAGGGCCAUCGCUCAACGGAUAAAAGGUACUCCGGGGAUAACAGGCUGAUACCGCCCAAGAGUUCAUAUCGACGGCGGUGUUUGGCACCUCGAUGUCGGCUCAUCACAUCCUGGGGCUGAAGUAGGUCCCAAGGGUAUGGCUGUUCGCCAUUUAAAGUGGUACGCGAGCUGGGUUUAGAACGUCGUGAGACAGUUCGGUCCCUAUCUGCCGUGGGCGCUGGAGAAUUGAGGGGGCUGCUCCUAGUACGAGAGGACCGGAGUGGACGCAUCACUGGUGUUCGGGUUGUCAUGCCAAUGGCACUGCCCGGUAGCUAAAUGCGGAAGAGAUAAGUGCUGAAAGCAUCUAAGCACGAAACUUGCCCCGAGAUGAGUUCUCCCUGAGACUUUAAGUCUCCUGAAGGAACGUUAAAGACGAUGACGUUGAUAGGCCGGGUGUGUAAGCGCAGCGAUGCGUUGAGCUAACCGGUACUAAUGAACCGUGAGGCUUAACCUUACAACGCCGAAG
rnacentral:rRNA from 1 species